GAAGAGGAAGAACCACCACCACUAGACGAUGGAGGCAGAGCUGCUGUCGUGGCAGUGUUUUUUUUUUCAAGAGUUAAUUAAAGUGUAGUGUUUUAAAAAAGAAAGAAAGGAAAGGAAUAACCUAAAUCAUGAGUCAAGAAAAAAGCAAUGGAAGUACAUCAAUCAUGAGAGUCGUUUUUCCCUGAUAUUUUUCAGAUUUUCCCCCAGUGCCCCCCACUUAUGCACUGGCAUGCAAAAGAAGGUAAAGCUCUGGGCUCAUGGGCGGUGAUUUUACAAUUGGAAAGGGGGCAACCAAAGAGGCUUUAGCUAUGCGCAUACGUUGGUUGCCUCAACUCCACUCCAGAUGUGCAUUCAGAACCAGCUUGGGAUGGCGGCAAAGCGGGGACAAGACAUCAGUGGAUCGGGUAGAAGGGACGAAGGACGAAGGACGAUGAGUUUUCCUAGCUGAAGAGCACAACUCGAAAUCGAAAUCGAAAUUGACGAAAAACGGCGUUCAAAAUGCCAAAUGAAUCUCAGCUUGUGGCAUGUGUGUGUGUGUGUGUGUGUGUGCCUUGGCUAAGUGCAAUCUCAGAGGGGUGUGUUUUC